rnacentral:misc_RNA from 1 species
GAUGAAGAACGCAGCGAAAUGCGAUACUUGGUGUGAAUUGCAGAAUCCCGUGAACCAUCGAGUCUUUGAACGCAAGUUGCGCCCGAAGCCAUUAGGCCGAGGGCACGCCUGCCUGGGCGUCACACGUCGUUGCCCCCCCAUCUACUCCUUCGGGAUUGCGGGGGGCGGAUGAUGGCCUCCCGUGCGCCUCGUCGCGCGGUUGGCCUAAAUGCCAAGUCCUCGGCGACGCACGCCACGACAAUCGGUGGUUGCGAAACCUCGGUUGCCUGUCGUGUGCGGUCGUCGCGCAUCGAGGGCUCGAAAAAAUUGCCGGGCUUCGGCUCGACUUUCAACGCGACCCCAGGUCAGGCGGGGUUACCCGCUGAAUUUAAGCAUAUCAAUAAGCGAAGGA